UGCCAAUCAAAAAAAAAAAAAAAAAGAUUUUGGAUGGAGGGUGCAAAUAUCUGAUAAAUGCUAGAAUUUUGGAAAGAGCUCUAUCAAGAGACAAAGGCACGGGUGGAUGGAAGCAGGAGAGAAGAAAAGCAAAAAUAGCAGGAGCAAAGCUAGCUUCACAGAUUUUCUGAAAUAUGACAGAAAUUGUCUUACAUGUAUUGUCACGUUUCGUUCUCCCACUAGUCAUCUAUUUACUGAUUUAUAUAUUCAACAAUUACUGAGAGCACAAUAAUGGUCUAGAUACUACUCCAGGUACAAGGGCCAAAGAACCGACUAAAGUACAGGCCUCGCCCACAGAGUCCCCCUAGAAAUUUAGUCAUGUUUGUGAAUUUCUCCAGUUUGAUGUGUUCGUGAAACCUGAGGACUGCUGGUUUGGAAGUUGGUUGAACUGCUCUCUGGUGCAAACCUCCACUGCCUGUGACACUAGCAUCACUACGAGGGACCUUCCAUAUAGAGCAUACAGGAGCGCCCCACUCACCUCCACGCAGUGCUAGUGUCCCGUUGCUCCCGGCUCUCCUAGAGUGCCCAGACUGAAGGGUCUCUUGCCCCUUUUACCCCCACCAUCCUGUUUAUGUCACAGAAAUCCGCACGAAAUUAUUAACACUUCCUGGACAGCCUGCUCCAGUCUCUUGGUUCCCCUCUGACAAUCACAGGGUGAAAAUAAUGAUGAUGCUUAACCACAAUUUUUAAAUUCAUAGUUCUUUUAUAAUUAGCUUCAUUUUAGUCUCACAACUCAAAAAAAAAUUUAAAACAAGGUGCCCCGGGUCCUACUGUGUAGGCUCAAAUCAAGAUAGUUUAAGUAGUCUCCUCGCUGUCUUGCAGAAAAUGAGAAGCCAAAGUGGGUUUGAAACCAUUUCUAGGUGACUCCCUGGUUCGUUGUCCCUCUACCACUUCCAGGGAGCCUGGUCUCAAUGGCAGAGAGUAAUGAAAAGCAAGUCGAUCCACGGCACACUCCAGGGCCCUCCCAACUACAUAAAGGGUGUGUUCAGAAUGGAAGCCAUCCUCCUUGAACUCUUGGCCUUAGGAAGUGAAUUGUUUGCAGGAGUGACUCGCACUGUCACCCAGUGCCACCAUCUCGUUCUCAUUGCAAGCACUGCUGUGGCUUCUUGGGUUCCCCAAGAGAGAGGAGGGACUGAAGAUUCCUGGACACCCUGACACAACUCCUAAGCCACCUGCACAGACUCUUAAAAUACAGCUAGUUCUCAAGGAGCCGCAGUUCUCAAGCAUUUGUACCCUUGGACUCCAGAAGCUAAGGGAACCAUGCCAGGACUCAGCAAUUCCUCAUGGGCAACUUGAGGUGGGAGCUGGCAGGGGACCAGUGUCGGAGAGAUUCCCGCCUGGACCCUCUGUGGUAGCUCUGCAAACACAGGUGCUCAACUGACUUUUCUUGAUGGGGCUUUGCUCCAGGAUUUCCUUGCAAUCAUGUGUGUGUGGAAUCAUUCACGGAAGGCAGGGAGUGCAGCACGGUUGAGGGUGUGGACAUCAGGCUGGGAAGCAGACAUGGAUGGGCAGCUCCGAGAGCGGCCACAGCUCGGGUAGACUGCAGCUACCAUAGAGCUGGAUCUGAGCAGAGGGCCAAGGCCAAAGAGCAGCAAGACCAAGAGGAGCUGGUCCUGCCUGGCCCGGACUCCAGGGUGACCUUCCCCCUCUUCUGACCCCUAAGUUAUAACUGGUUAGCUGAAGGCCAUAUUUAGGCCCAACUGGUAGAAUAGACGCUAAGUAGAACUGGGGUACCUUGGCUGCUCUUAGGUUGCUGGGACUAAUGCUGCUGAGAAGUCUGACAUGGCAAUUGUCGGGGGACACGUCAAGGGUGAGGCCCUAUGGAUGGCCCCCCAGCUCUACCACAAAUGAUAGCAAAGGCUGAGGAAGUCCACGCACCAUGCUAGGGAAGGCCUAGAAUAUCCAACUAUAUCAUCUCAAGUGCUAUUUAAAUAAAGGAUAGCUGCUGUUCAUAGGUUUCUGACCACCAGACCUGCAAAACAAUUUCAGCCAUGAACUUCCCACUCUGUAACACAUAGUUUUGCUGUGUUCUAUUUGUAUCCCUAGGAAACCUCAGGAAAUUAAUUUGAAAUCACAUUUUUUUAAAAAACAAUUGUUUUAGUGAG
rnacentral:lncRNA from 1 species